rnacentral:rRNA from 1 species
UACGUAGGGGGCAAGCGUUGUCCGGAUUUAUUGGGCGUAAAGAGCGUGUAGGCGGCCAGGUAGGUCCGUUGUGAAAACUCGAGGCUCAACCUCGAGACGCCGAUGGAAACCAUCUGGCUAGAGUCCGGAAGAGGAGAGUGGAAUUCCCGGUGUAGCGGUGAAAUGCGCAGAUAUCGGGAAGAACACCCGUGGCUAAGGCGGCUCUCUAGUACGGUACUGACGCUGAGACGCGAAAGCGUGGGGAGCGAACAGGA